GAUGAACGCUGGCGGCGUGCCUAAUACAUGCAAGUCGAGCGAACAGACGAGGAGCUUGCUCCUCUGACGUUAGCGGCGGACGGGUGAGUAACACGUGGAUAACCUACCUAUAAGACUGGGAUAACUUCGGGAAACCGGAGCUAAUACCGGAUAAUAUAUUGAACCGCAUGGUUCAAUAGUGAAAGACGGUUUUGCUGUCACUUAUAGAUGGAUCCGCGCCGCAUUAGCUAGUUGGUAAGGUAACGGCUUACCAAGGCAACGAUGCGUAGCCGACCUGAGAGGGUGAUAGGCCACACUGGAACUGAGACGCGGUCCAGACUCCUACGGGAGGCAGCAGUAGGGAAUCUUCCGCAAUGGGCGAAAGCCUGACGGAGCAACGCGGCGUGAGUGAUGAAGGUCUUCGGAUCGUAAAACUCUGUUAUUAGGGAAGAACAAAUGUGUAAGUAACUAUGCACGUCUUGACGGUACCUAAUCAGAAAGCCACGGCUAACUACGUG
rnacentral:rRNA from 1 species